rnacentral:lncRNA from 1 species
GGUUGUAAGACAAUCUUGGGAAGAUGUGUGGACUAGUGGAGGGUUUUUGGUUAACCGUUUUUCUAGUCGGUACAGGGUGGUGGAUUCGAAGAAUUAAUUGCUGAAGGAGUUGUAGGACUUAAAAGCUGGGUUGCAAAAUGAAUGCAAGACGAAAUUUAGAAGAUGGAGAAGAAAGGGAGAUUUUGUUGCUAUUGGAUGUUCUGAAUACUUAGAGCUAAAUGAUGAAAAUAAAAUAAUUUACGAGCUAAACUUUUGCUGUGAUUGGCGAUGAAUUCCGUCAUGGGGGGAAGGCAUGCAGUCUCUGAUUAUCAUCCCUUGGCCCUUAGGCUUUUUAAAUGAGGCUUUUUCCGUCUUAAUAAUAUUUCUUGUUUCUCAUCAAGAAGAUAAAUGGAGUUGUAUCUUUUCAGCCUACCAAGCAAAAUUGUUUCUAAAAAAAAAACUAUCACUAUCUAAAAGCAUUAGGAAUUAAAUUUACUGUAGUCAAGAAGAUGCUCAGUAACUGGAAAGCAUUUUUUACCUGUUUUGACACUGAAGCUUCGUUAAACCAAAAGAAAAAGGAGACAACCUAUUGGUAGAAAGGUCUUUACAAUGAUGUAUUGAUGCCUACAAAAUUAUUUUUUUUGUCCAACAUGGUUCUGACUAGUACCAUAACUUCAAGUGCUUAAAUUAUCAUGCACUUAUUAUAUUGUUGAAAACAUGGUGUUAAUUAUCUAUUCCCUUCAACUGAUAUUUAUUUAUCAUUGCUUUAGUUUUGCGCUGGAGCAAGAUGUUGAAAAGUUUAUUCAUGAUCCUGCUUGACAGCAGCUGCCUACUUCAUAUUUACGGUUAGCUGCGCAUCAGAUUGUCCAACAUUACUCGCUGCAAUCCAUGGUUCUAUUGGAUAAUAGUUUACCUGAUGGGUCUGGUUCCAAAAUUAUCGUUUGCGAUACUUCUGAAUGUCGUCUUCCAGCUAUCCGCCUUGCAGAUAUUCCUGUAAAUCUACCAGCAGAGGAAUAUAGUAGCAUAAAGGUUGCUAUUAAACAGAGGCCACAGAAGUGGUCCCAACUAGCAAGAGAUGCAAGUGCAAAUUCAUCAAAAACGAGGGAUUCCAAAAGUGUGGAAGAGAGGAAAGAGGAGUAUAAUAAAGCUAGUGCUCAAAUAUUUAACUCCAGCAGCAAUUCAGGCUGUCAUGCAAGUGAGAAAGUAGAUGCUGAUCCUAGACCACAGGAUAGUUAUCGUGGUUGUUUGAGUGCUGCAAAGGUUGAGGAGAAGAUGAUUCUGGAGUUCCUGAUAUAAAUUUUAGUAGGGGUUUGAUUGACUGUUCCACGAGUAGCAGUAGAAUAAAUAGAAGGUAGGACUGACAAGGAGCUGCCUAGUAGGCAGUACAAACCAAAUAGUAGGGUAGCCAUUCUUAGAGAUCGUGAGAUUGGCAGCAAGGACCCUGAUUAUGACAGGAGUUAUGAUAGGUAUGAAAUGCAAUCCUUUAUUCUCUUGGUUUGAUCUCAAUGUGUGUGUAUAUACAUAUAUAUUUGCAAAAUCUCUCGUUUAAAAGGUCUAUCCAAAAACAUGUUCUAAAAGUUUUCUCGCUUCAAACUCUGUUUACGAACUCUUUCCAAAACACUUCUUGGACAUUUCUCUUGUUUUUGUUGUUUUUUUUUUUGAAAAAUAAGAUAUUUUACAAAACUUCUGAAAAACUGCAUGAGCAAGGAUGUUGGCCACACACAGGGCAAUGAGCAGCAAGGCAACAUGCACCAUGGUGCGCGGAAGAUGUUGUCUUGGUGCCAUCUUUGCACAUGCGGAAGCGAACUUUCAAAUGGCAUUUACAAAGCAUUGUGGAAAACACUUUUUUUUCUUCCUAUUUUCUUCUAGAAAGUCUUUCCAGAACAUAUGUAUAUAUAUGUGUGUGUAUAUACAUAUAUAUUUGCAAAAUCUCUCGUUUAAAAGGUCUAUACAAGAACAUGUUCUAAAAGUUUUCUCGCUUCAAAUUCUGUUUACGAACUCUUUCCAAAACACUUCUUGGACGUUUCUUUUUGUUUUUGUUUUUGUUUUUUCUUUGAAAAAUAAGAUAUUUUACAAAACUUUUGAAAAACUGCAUGAGCAAGGAUGUUGGCCACACACAGGGCAAUGAGCAGCAAGGCAACAUGCACCAUGGUGCGCGGAAGAUGUUGUCUUGGUGCCAUCUUUGCACAUGCGGAAGCGAACUUUCAAAUGGCAUUUGCAAAGCAUUGUGGAAAACACUUUUUUUCUUCCUAUUUUCUUCUAGAAAGUCUUUCCAGAACAUAUGUAUAUAUAUGUGUGUGUAUAUACAUAUAUAUUUGCAAAAUCUCUCGUUUAAAAGGUCUAUACAAGAACAUGUUCUAAAAGUUUUCUCGCUUCAAAUUCUGUUUACGAACUCUUUCCAAAACACUUCUUGGACGUUUCUUUUUGUUUUUGUUUUUGUUUUUUUCUUUGAAAAAUAAGAUAUUUUACAAAACUUUUGAAAAACUGCAUGAGCAAGGAUGUUGGCCACACACAGGGCAAUGAGCAGCAAGGCAACAUGCACCAUGGUGCGCGGAAGAUGUUGUCUUGGUGCCAUCUUUGCACAUGCGGAAGCGACCUUUCAAAUGGCAUUUACAAAACAUUGUGGAAAACACUUUUUUUUCUUCCUAUUUUCUUCUAGAAAGUCUUUCCAUAACAUAUGUAUAUAUAUGUGUGUAUACUAUACAUAUAUAUUUGCAAAAUCUCUCGUUUAAAAGGUCUAUACAAGAACAUGUUCUAAAAGUUUUCUCGCUUCAAAUUCUGUUUACGAACUCUUUCCAAAACACUUCUUGGACGUUUCUUUUUGUUUUUGUUUUUGUUUUUUUCUUUGAAAAAUAAGAUAUUUUACAAAACUUUUGAAAAACUGCAUGAGCAAGGAUGUUGGCCACACACAGGGCAAUGAGCAGCAAGGCAACAUGCACCAUGGUGCGCGGAAGAUGUUGUCUUGGUGCCAUCUUUGCACAUGCGGAAGCGAACUUUCAAAUGGCAUUUACAAACAUUGGGAAAACACUUUUUUUUCUUCCUAUUUUCUUCUAGAAAGUCUUUCCAGAACAUAUGUAUAUAUAUGUGUGUGUAUAUACAUAUAUAUUUGCAAAAUCUCUCGUUUAAAAGGUCUAUACAAGAACAUGUUCUAAAAGUUUUCUCGCUUCAAAUUCUGUUUACGAACUCUUUCCAAAACACUUCUUGGACGUUUCUUUUUGUUUUUGUUUUUGUUUUUUUCUUUGAAAAAUAAGAUAUUUUACAAAACUUUUGAAAAACUGCAUGAGCAAGGAUGUUGCCACACACACGGCAAUGAGCAGCAAGGCAACAUGCACCAUGGUGCGCGGAAGAUGUUGUCUUGGUGCCAUCUUUGCACAUGCGGAAGCGAACUUUCAAAUGGCAUUUACAAAACAUUGGGAAAACACUUUUUUUUCUUCCUAUUUUCUUCUAGAAAGUCUUUCCAGAACAUAUGUAUAUAUAUGUGUGUGUAUAUACAUAUAUAUUUGCAAAAUCUCUCGUUUAAAAGGUCUAUACAAGAACAUGUUCUAAAAGUUUUCUCGCUUCAAAUUCUGUUUACGAACUCUUUCCAAAACACUUCUUGGACGUUUCUUUUUGUUUUUGUUUUUGUUUUUUUCUUUGAAAAAUAAGAUAUUUUACAAAACUUUUGAAAAACUGCAUGAGCAAGGAUGUUGGCCACACACAGGGCAAUGAGCAGCAAGGCAACAUGCACCAUGGUGCGCGGAAGAUGUUGUCUUGGUGCCAUCUUUGCACAUGCGGAAGCGAACUUUCAAAUGGCAUUUACAAAACAUUGUGGAAAACACUUUUUUUUCUUCCUAUUUUCUUCUAGAAAGUCUUUCCAGAACAUAUGUAUAUAUAUGUGUGUAUAUACAUAUAUAUUUGCAAAAUCUCUCGUUUAAAAGGUCUAUACAAGAACAUGUUCUAAAAGUUUUCUCGCUUCAAAUUCUGUUUACGAACUCUUUCCAAAACACUUCUUGGACGUUUCUUUUUGUUUUUGUUUUUGUUUUUUCUUUGAAAAAUAAGAUAUUUUACAAAACUUUUGAAAAACUGCAUGAGCAAGGAUGUUGGCCACACACACGGCAAUGAGCAGCAAGGCAACAUGGCCACACACUCGUUAGUUGUGAGCUCAACUGGGAUUGAGAGUACAAUUGUCCCGCAUAUCAUUCAUUCCAUUAGCUAAUCGCUUCUGUUGCGAUCCUUGGUGGUUCAACCCAUUUGUUCUUUCAUAUCAAUCGUAGUACAACCCAAUCGCUCUUAAGUUGACUUCUCAUACUUAUAGAUUAUGAUUCUCAAUUAUUUGGCUAAGAUAACUUCCAUCGUUGAGCCUCCCUCUACUCAUUCCAAUCACAUUUCUUAACUUUGGUUUCUCUCAUUAUUUGUUGUCAUUUGCUCAACAAGUAUUUAUAUAAAUCAUCCCAAAUCAACUCCCACUUUUCAGAUUUCCAUGGAUAUAAAAAGAAAUGGUGGCUCAUCAUUCGUACCAUUUCUUUUGUUGAUGGGCAUGAAUUACGGGUCAUUAUGAACUCACCAACAAGCAACCAACCAUUUUGACUCCUUGUUAGUACUUAAAAGUUAACAACUUUAAUCAUCUUCUACUAGAUAAAAUAAGUUGUGUUUUCAAAGUUCAUGUGUAAAGCAAAAGAGAUUGUCUUAUAGUGACUUUAACAUAGAUUACACUCCCAUUGUGAAAUAAUAUAUAACUAUAUUUAUAUCAACUAUAUAUUACAUAUAUAACAAAACCCUAAAAUAAAGUUAAGUUGUCCAAAAUAACAAACUAGCGUCCUCCUUGAAAAAUUAUAAAAAUUUCAAGUUAGAUUGUCUUGGAUUUUAGGAUGUAUUAAGGCUAUCUCCAUGUAUUAGAGAAUAUAAGAAAUUCUAUUUAACAAUUUAAAAAAUUAUAAGAUUUUUUUGUAGCCUUAUCCUUGCAAUUGAAGUAGGAGAUUAAAUCCGAAACUCUUGUCGAAAUUGGGCAAGCAUGCUAGCCUGAAAAGAUUGGUUCCGUCGGAAAACAAGAGGGGUUGGUCAAUAUCGGUUUCAGAAAGUUUCAAAUUGAAAACUUUAAAAAAUUAUUUAUAAGUCGAUCAACCCAAUUAAUAUCAACUGACACUUACUCAUCAAUGUCGAUUUUGUAAAAAAUACCAUCUCCGACCGACCGAUUAACACCGAAGUCGGGAACUUACGCAUACUAGAUAAGUGUAGAGUAUAUAUAUCUUUUUCAAAUUUGAUUAAAUUACCAAAUAUUAUAUCCAAUUCUCUCUCUACCCUUUUUUUAUCUGCGUUCCCGCCCGCCGCUCGGUGAACUCAUUUGCGCAGCUCUUUCCUCUUUCUCUUCUUUGUCUUCCUCUCGGCUUCACAAUCUUCAUCGUCAAUCUUUGAUCCAGCCUAAGAAGGCGCUGUACAUUAUAGGGUUUUAAGUAGAAGGUGAGUUUUCAGAUUGCUUUUAUAUCUUCUGUCAAGCUAUGAUGCUUUUGGUACUUAUCGACCACUUUCUCAUGCAAGAAUAUUUGAGUUUGAGAAUUAUUUGCUGAAAUUUUUAUGGGUUUAUGGAGUAUUUUCUACUUUGUUUUGGCGGAGUUGAGUUUGCUUCUUAGGUGUAGAGAAGUUUGUUCAGUGUUGUUUUUGUUUUUGAGGCUACAACUCAAUGAAAAAACUCAUUGAGUUCAUGGAAUUAGGGUUUUAUCUUGUUUAAUGGGGAACAGGCAUGUUUGGUAUUGAUUUUGUGCAUUGUACUGGUAGUCGAGAUCGCAUUGCCAUCUUACAGUUGCUUAUUCUUUUUUUUCUUAUUUUCUUGAUAGUUAUUAGACAAUUGAAACCUCAUAAUUCAACCAAAAUGGCGGCCUUCAAUCUCGUUGCGGAUAUGUAUGACCCGGCCUUGAAGCCUCGCUUGCUACAUAAACUUCUUAGGGAGCACGUUCCCGACGAUAAGCGUGCAUUUUCUGAUUAUUCAGAACUUUCAAAUGUGGUUUCUAUGAUCACAUCCCACGAUCUUCUCUCUGAAUCCUCGUCUUCCAAGGACCAAAAGCUGAUUGAUAGCUGGAAAUCCGCUGUUGAUUCCUGGGUCAACCGUUUGUUUCUUCUUCUCUCCAACGAUAUGGUAUAAGCAUGCAUUAAAUUCUAUUUAAAUAAUUUUUUUAAUAAUACAUAGCUUUUGCUUUAUACUCCCGUGGAUUUGACUAUUUGUCGGCUGCCGGGCUUAUGUGUAGCUUGUUCGAAGAACAGCUGGAACGAAGUUCAGUGGAACUUGUUAAGUUUCAUAAUCAAUGAGUUCGCUGCUGGUUAUUGAGAGAAAAUUUAUAGUUAGUGUUAAUCUAGAAAGUUUGUCGCCUUAGAGCGCCCUUUGCGCUUUGAAAACACCGUUUAAUUCUUAGAAACUGAACAUUUGAACCUUGCUUGCAUAUUUGGCAAUUCAUUGGCAUGCAGGAAGAUAGGGAAUAAUAUUGACUGUCUUUAUUACUUUGUUUUUUAGAUAUUGCUCAACUUCCUUUUGUGGGUUACUAAUUUUAGCAUCCAAUCUUUCUAAAGCCUGAUAAAUGUUGGGCGGGAAUCAUUUUACUUGGAGUGACUUGUCAACGAUGCAGCUCUAGUCGUUUCUUGGCAUCAUAUACAGAAUGGCUUCACAAGCUUUUACCUCACAUGCAGGUAACAGUUAGUUUUUUAUGGGAUUGAUUCUAUAUUAUUUCUUUACAUGUAUUAAGUGGCAAAAAUGUUAAAUUAUAGUGUACACAUGAAGAAGAAUAAGAGUUAAAUGAUAAGUUAUUCCAUCAGAACUAAGAUACCGGUUACUGUUUGGGACACAUAACUGCAAUAAUUCAACUAUGCUUUUGAGCAUGUGAUGUGGCUGGAUCGUCUUUGACAGUCGACCUGUUUGACUACAGUAAAUAUGUUUGUUCUGAAAUUUGGGUAUGAUUGGUUGUAAGAUAUUCAUCAAAAUGAGUUCUGGACAUGAUUUGUGACAAUAAGUGAUUAUUGUUUCUUGGAAAGAAUGCAAAAUCACGCAUUGGGGGUUUCCAAGCUCUUAUUCUUUUCAUUAAUAUAGGAUUGAACAAGUAAGAUAAACUACGGAUGAAAUAGCAGGUCUAACCAGCUCUCCUCGUACAUGAGGGUCCCCAAAGACAUGCAUCGGGCAUGUAUCUGAUUAGCAUAAGAUAGCCUUUGGCAACACUUAAUGAUUGUGGAGCUACUGAAGGACCUAAUGCACUGCUAUUCUUGAGCAUGGUUAUCUGAUAUUUUAUCAAGUGUUAUACAAAGUGCAAUUUUUUUUUCUUCUGAAGACACAAAAGAAUAUAUUGAUCACAAAUAGUGUGUGACGUAGUUCCAGAGCAAUGUCAAGUUCCUUCUUUUUCUGUUCCUUUUAUUUAUAUUGUUUCUGUCUUUAGCUUUACAACUUAUAAUCAUCAAUGCUUUUUUUUAUACUUGAAUGCUACCAAGAAUUUUACAACGUUUUCAUUUUUUGUGUUUUUAUUGUUCAAUAGACAGAUUCUCAGUUUCUGAAGGUGGCCUCUUGUGCUUCAAUCUAUGAUUUAUUCUCGAGGUACAUCUUCAUUUGACCUUGGCAGAAAUCUAUCACACGAAGUUGUCCCUCAAACACAACCCUUUUUUUUAUUCGAAAUGGUAACAAUGUCAUUGAUAAGAUGAAAUUAUAAAAGGAUACCUAUCAAUUGGAUUACAAAAAACUCUUCCAUCGAGUAAUAAGAGAAACUAAAUCAUAAUUAUAAAAAGGGGUAACCAAUUCACCCCAAGUGAGGGUUGUAUGUGUCACUCAAACACAAAUUGAUUUGUUAACUAUACCCCUUCCAAAAGCGAAAUUUUUAUGUGCCUUGUGUAUAUUUAACUGAAUACCUCUUAGGAUUUGUUUAUUGUUGAUUCUACAUCGACUUUGUGGUCUGUGGAUUCAACUAUUGAAUGCUGACUUGAGAAUAAUAGAUAACUGAUUGAAUCACAUUCUGUAAGUUAUUACUGUCAAGUCGUUUUAUUGCCAAUAUGAGCAUAGAACUAUUGGUUAAGGCAUAUAUCCCACCUCCAUAUGUUGUUGAGCUUAAAAAUAAAAAUUGUCUAUUUAUUUAUUUUUUAAAAUAAAAUAACCACUUUCAUUGAGCAAAAUCAAAGAAAAUUGUCUAAAACUUUUAAGCAAUAUGCUUGACCAUAUUAUUGCUUGUUUCGUGACUUUUUAAGAUGUAUCUUUUACAAAUUAGAUUGGGUAGAUUUCAAAGUGUAAAGAAAGAUGGGACUUCUUGUGCUGGGAAGGUCAUUCAACCUGUUGCAUGAUGAUAAUACUGAAGCUGUUUUGGUAAGUCCAUUUUUCAUGGACUAUUUUCAUGCAUUCAUGAGCUAAAUAAUUUUGUAACAAUGGUAUUUUAAUUAUCUAUGCCAACUGAGAUCCUCUUUUGUAAAAAUUUCUUAGUCUUUUGUGAAAUUUUUCAUCUCUCUUUUUGUACUCUUGCUUGGUAUUGGUAGUUGCAACUUUUGUUUUAAAAUAUGUAACUAUCUGCAUGUUGUUUGAUGCAGGAUAAUGCGGUUAAUCUGUUAUGCACCUUGAUAGAUUUCUUCCCCUUCACAAUCCAUCGUCAUUAUGACUCUGUAAGUGCUUUAACAAAUAAUGUGAUAUUGAUUCUGUUUUAAAUUACAAUUUUGGAACUCUGGUAGCUUUCUGACUUUUCUGUUCACUGGUGAUGUAAUCUAAGCUUCCGAAGUUUGUUAUUAUUAUCGUUAUUAUUUUUAAUUUGAUUUAGUUUAAUUUUUUUCCUUCACAAAAAAACUGCUAUAAAAAACUGGAAAGAGAGUGUUUGUAUUACCAUUAGAAGCUGAAAUAAUUAAAUUUUCUCCCAUAAUUGCACUCAACAUCUUCAGCACAUAUGGCUUCAUGCUGUCACUUGUCAGCAUGUUGUUUAUCUAUAGAUCACUAUCUUUGUAAUUCAAAAACUGACAAAGUUUAAAUUCCAUGCCAAAUAGAAAAAAAGGAUUUAUGUUGAAAUAGUUGAUUUUGUUUCUUCCUGAUGAAUUGGAUAUAUUCUAUAGGCCGAAGCUGCAAUUGUUUCAAAAAUAUUUUCAGGGAAGUGUAGUUCUAACAUGCUGAAGGUACUGUGCCUCUUAUGUAGUUUUAAUCAUAGUACAGUAGAUAUUAACGUCAAAUGUCCCCCAUAAUUUUCUCUGUGUUUUAUAUUUCAAAUUUAGAAGCUUGCCCAUUGCCUGGCAUCACUUCCAAAAUCAAAAGGAGACGAAGAUAGCUGGUCUUUACUAAUUCAGAAGAUUUUGUUAUCCAUCAAUAGUCACUUGAAUGAGGCCUUCCAAGGCAUCGGUGAAGGUAUACUGAACUGUAAAACAAGUAAAGCUAUCUCAAUUUAUGAAAAUGGUGACAAUGAUGCAUUUGAAUGUUUUUUGUAGAUUCAAAAGGCAUUGAAGUUGUAAGGUUACUGAUUCUACCAGGAAAAGAUCCUCCACCACCUUUAGGUUGUUGUUCACAAUCAGAAGGUUCCUUGGACAAAAUAAAAAAGAGCUCAGAGCGGAUGUUAACAUCUAGUAUUUCAACCUUGAUGGUUUGCUGUUCCACAAUGAUAACAAGUUCAUACAACCAUCAGGUAGCAACACGUCAUCCAUUUUUUUGUUAUGCUCAUAUUAAAAGAGGAAAUGUUCCCCUCUAUAUGAAUCUAUAUACAUCUACUGUGACACCUCACUUUCUUAAUUAAUAUAAUGAAAUAAAGAAAGUGGUGUUAAAUUGAUCUUUAUUUGUAUUAUAUCAGGUGGCAGUUCCCAUUCGCCCGUUAUUAGCUCUUGUUGAGAGAGUGCUGACGAUGGAUGGUUCUUUGCCACCCACUUCAGUGCCAUUUAUGACAUCUCUGCAGCAAGAAUCAAUGUGUUUAGAACUUCCGGUGCUGCAUUCAGUCAGUUUGGAUCUCCUCGUUGCCAUCAUUAAGAGCCUUCGCAGGUGAGGCAUCUACUAUUCAACUACACGGACUAUAUACCAUAAAACCUUUAUGCAGACCCAGACUUUUUCAGUAAUCAAUACCCAUCCAUAAACAUAUCACAUGUGCUUUCUUCCACCUCUACAAGAUGCGAUCAACAAUGAUCUUUCAUGUUUAUAUGAAUACGAAAAUGAUCCAAUGGUAUACAAAGUUUCCACUUAGAUAAGUUGGGAAGAAAAUGUGUGAAGUCUAGCCUGUCAAUUGCCACUGAAAAAAAUAUGGAUGCCAUAUUUUUGUUUAUAUAAUUAUUAUUAAAUUCCUUUUCAGUCAAUUGUUGCCACAUGCUGCAUCAAUUGUACGACUCAUUGUGAAGUACUUCAAGAAGUGUGUCUCUGCAGAACUGAGAGUAAAAGUCUACGCAGUUGCUAAGUCAUUGAUGACGUCUUUGGGUGUUGGUAAGAAUUAUAUUGUGUUUCAUUUGGCAUGGAGAUAAUUAUAAUUAUUGUUUUAAUGUCUAUAUGGAAACAUUGUUUUGGGAUGUAUACUUAUUCAAUGCCGCAUUUGAAUCAGGAAUGGCUGCAUCUCUUUCUCGAGAUGUGAUUGACAAUGUACUAGGUGAUUUGAACCCUGUAAAUAAUGAGAGUUCUGAUCCAUCUAAUGUGAAUCCAAAGGACACGCAAAGAGAUUUACCGCAACACCAUAAUAAGAGAAAACGCCCUUCAGUUCCCACUUCCAUGAAAGCGGCAGCACGAGAGGAAUGAACCAGAGGACAUUACCAGCAGCUGUAGCUAUACCUCAGUCCACUUGAGGAUAGCUGCACUUGAGGCUUUGAAGACUCUUCUUACAUCGGUGGGCAUUAUAUAUGUUAUUUGUCUCUUUGGUUAAUUAUUUUGCAUACGAAUUUAUUAAAAAAAGUUAUUAAUGGGAAUAUUUUUGGUUCAUUUGUGUCAAAUGGUUUUUAACUGCUGACUGCUUUAUUUAUUUAUUUGUUUGUUUGUUUUUCGUUGAUUAUUUGUAUAGGCUGGUGCUUUGAGAUCUGAAGAAGGAUGGCGUGCAAAAGUUGAACAUCUUUUAAUAACAACUGCAACAUCUUCUCUUCAAUGGCCACGAGCCUCGGACGACACCUUUUUCCAAGCCAAUGAAUCUAUUGAGGUUUGGGUGGAUUAUCAGUUGGCGGCAUUUCAUGCACUACUGGCUUCUUUUUUGUCUGCUGUCCAUGUACGCCCACUGGCUUUGGCUCAAGGUCUCGAGCUCUUUCGUAAAGGUAAAUCUCUUUUGAUAUUUCGUUUGAUCAUGUGGAAGGCUGGGUUUGAGAACGAGGAUGCUAGAUCACCUUAUUUAUGAGUCAAACUGAUAGGCAUUUUCUUCUUCAGGUAAACAAGAAAAUGGAACCAAACUUGGUGAGUUUUGUGCCCAUGCUCUCUUAGCCAUGGAGGUUCUAAUACAUCCGAGGGUCCUUCCCCUCUCGGAUUUCUUGCCAUUGCGCUUGAGCUCUCCUGAACCACAAGCUGCCUUUAAAUUCCAGGAAGAUCUGUACUUCAACAGUAACGAUUCUAGGAAAUUGUUGAAGGUCGGCCCGCAAAGCAUGGAGCAGAUGGCCUCCGAGGCUCUAAUUAGUGAUGAUGUGGUAGAUAACAAUGAAAUGACGUAUAGCACCUCAAAUGAUAUUGAAAAGGAGCCCUCUGCAAAUGGCAUAGCGAAUAUAGAAAUGCCCAAGAGAACCGAACAGGCCACUGCAGCAGCCAUCUCAGAAGUAGGGGUUGUAGCGGAAGAUGACGUUGAAUUUGCUAAUGCAAGUAUGAAUAGUUCCCCCAUGUCAUCAAAAUCAGAUAAAAUCGAAGAUUUUGGACGGGAUUCGAGCUCGAAUUUAUUGCUAGAAGAUGACUUUCCUGAUAUUAUUGAUGCAGAUCCUGAUACAGACUAUGAAGAGUGAAAAAGGUAUUGUCAAUCAUUGACUCAAUUUUGUAGUUUUAAGGCUUAAGGGUGUUGUUCAGAACUCAAAAUCAAUUAUUAUUGUUGUGUUCUAUUCAUGUAGCCAUAGAUGGCUUGAACUGAUGAUCGAGAAUGGUUAUGUAUAUAAAAAGGUGAAAGUUAGACAAAUUUCAAAAGCUUUGAUUGCUAGUUUCUGAUAAAUUUUCUUUCAAUCAUUUUUAUUUUUUUUCAUUCUUAGAUAAUGGGGUGCCGAUUUGCAAUAUACGUUAGGACAACGAUUAGAUGCAUUAUAGAAUAUACCAUCUUUUAAGUAAUGGUAUUAGAUACGGUAGGACAACGAUUAGAUGUAUUAUAGAAUAUACCAUCUCGUAAGUAAUAUGGUAUCUUUUUGAAGUCCUAAAAUGUUGAGGGAUAAAUUUGUGGGUAUUACAAUCUCGAGAUGUAGUUAAGAUCAACAAUAUCUAAAUAGGCAAUUAAAUAAACAAUGUCUAAAUAGACGAUUAAAUGAACCCUUUAGAAAGAGAGGCAAAAAUAAAAUGACAGAGUGAAGUUUCUUUAAAAAAACUUUUUAAAAAUUAUUGUUUUGAUAAUAACUGAUCGUAGUUAACUACUAGUGCUCAGUCUCUUUUUACAUCUUACUCUAACUUAUCAUCAUGUUUGAAUCAAUUUUUAACUUAUCAUCAUGUUUGAAUCAAUUUUAGGGUUAAGUGAAUGUCAAGUGAAUGUAUUUUGUUCUUACAACAUAUGUGUUAGUGAAUGUAUUUUGUUCAAACUCAAUUAAUUUAGGAAAAAUGUUUUAAAUAAAAAACUAUUUAAAACAUUUACAAAUAUUAAAAUUUAUAUGUUUAUUAGUAUUUUUGUUAAUUAAUUUUGAAAUUUUAGUCUGUUUUGUAAAUAUGGUUUAUUUUGCUAUUUUGAAAACAAUCCAUUUGAAUGUUGUUUUGUUUAAAUUAUUAGAAUUGUAUUAUUGGAUAAAUAGACAUUUUAAAAAAUAGCAAAAUAUUAAAACUAUUUAUACAAAAUUCCUCAAACUUUUCAUAUAUUUAAGUUUUUCUUUAAAAUUAUAUUUCAUAAAUAGUUUUUUUUUAUCCAUAACAAAUUUUCAUGAUAAAUGGUAAAGCAUAUUAAAUAUGUAAAUAGUUCAACUCAGUUAAUUGUAAUUUGGUCCAUAUCAUACUAAAAAAGUUAUAUGUAUGUUAUUUUAAAAGAGUUCAUAUCAUACAGUUUCUUAAAUUUUAGGUACCAAACUUAUAAGAUACAAAAAUCAAAGUUUAAAAAGAGUAAAAUUUUGGCAUUCUAUUUCUAGAAAAAAAACUCCUUAUAAUAAUUACUAGUAAAAAAAAAAGUUGGUUGAUUUUCAUUUUUUUUUUAAUCUCAACCUUUCAUGUUAAAACUUUAUAUAAAGAUUUUUUUUUUAAAUGACAAAUUUAACAGUAAGUCAAUUUGAUAAAUAUUGAUAGACAUUAAUAUGAUAAUAAAUAUGGAUAGAUAUUCAUAUGUUUUUAUCUGACAAUAAUAGAAGUUUAUUUAGUUUAUCUCGUUAAUAAAAUCUAAAAUGUUUGUCUAUGAUGAAUAUUUUAGUUUAUUUUUGUAUUUUAAAAAAUAUCCCUCCAAAAAACGUAAUUUUUUUCCACUAAAAGUUAUUAAAAUUUAAUAACAAGAGUUGGUGAAUUGCUACAUUGUUAUUUCAUUUAUAUGUCAUUUACAUCCCAUUGUAAUUUACAGAUUUUUUUUUUCAAAUGGUAUGGGUAAGUAAUCAGUGCGGUUUAGUGUAAGGAUUAGUUAUAUUCAAAUUAUAGCAAACUAUCUUAAUUUGAAACUUAACGGCGUCAACGACAAGCAACGGCGUCAACGACAAGCAACGGCUACAUUUUUAGGUUUAUUUACUUCAUUCAACUCUCAAAACAAUCUCCGUCGCCAAUUUCUCUCUAGAAUUUUCUUCUUCCGCCUCCGUGCACAGCGUCGAAUCUCCAAACCCUAAUUUAUAAAUGCAAUUCCGAUCCACAAAUUCUUAUGCUACCUCGAUCUCCUCUUUGGGAGCUUCUAUUCCCUAAUCUUUGAUGUCUUGCUUCGUCUGCGGUUGAGGAUCUCGGAGGACCGGAGUCACGGGAGGUCGCUGAUUUGGAUGAAGCCAUGAGUCGAUUGAUGCUCCCUUUUUCAUCUCCUAAGAAGAAUUCCAAAUCCUUGGAUGUGGCUGAUGCUGCUCCUGCCUAUCAUUUUUCAUCCGCUUGAUUUCCUUCCCUUUCUGGUUCAGCUUAUUCUGCUCUCGAUAGGGUUUCCGAGGAUGCUAUCAAUCAGGUUGAUCAGUUCCUUCGUGAGGCUUUGCAUAACCCUCGGGAGCGUCUAUCAAGUAAGUUGUUUAUUUAGCUUUCCUUUAUUGUAGAUGGUCAAUGGUGUGAUUGGUUUCAGGAGUUGUCUAAUGUCAUGUUCUGUAGAGGGAGGAGAUAGUUAAAAGUUGCUAGCUACGGCCUUCUCGAAGGUGGGCUGGAAGUGGCUGGUUGCUUCCCGGAUUUGUAUAGGCUUUUAGUUUGUUCUAGUCUUUCGAAUGCCUCAUUUAAAUCAAUGGUAUUAGAAAUUUAGAAGUAUUAUUGCCAAAAACUACAUGGUGGAUUUCAUGAAGAUGUGAUAUAUGUUUGGAACAGUAUCGUGAAACUAUGUGACAUGAUGUGCUUUUAGGUAAUCCAAGACAAAGGUUGGAUGGUUGUAAGACAAUCUUGGGAAGAUGUGUGGACUAGUGGAGGGUUUUUGGUUAACCGUUUUUCUAGUCGGUACAGGGGGUGGAUUCGAAGAAUUAAUUGCUGAAGGAGUUGUAGGACUUAAAAGCUGGGUUGCAAAAUGAAUGCAAGACGAAAUUUAGAAGAUGGAGAAGAAAGGGAGAUUUUGUUGCUAUUGGAUGUUCUGAAUACUUAGAGCUAAAUGAUGAAAAUAAAAUAAUUUACGAGCUAAACUUUUGCUGUGAUUGGCGAUGAAUUCCGUCAUGGGGGGAAGGCAUGCAGUCUCUGAUUAUCAUCCCCUUGGCCCUUAGGCUUUUUAAAUGAGGCUUUUUCCGUCUUAAUAAUAUUUCUUGUUUCUCAUCAAGAAGAUAAAUGGAGUUAUCUUUUCAGCCUACCAAGCAAAAUUGUUUCUAAAAAAAAAAACUAUCACUAUCUAAAAGCAUUAGGAAUUAAAUUUACUGUAGUCAAGAAGAUGCUCAGUAACUGGAAAGCAUUUUUUACCUGUUUUGACACUGAAGCUUCGUUAAACCAAAAAAAAAGGAGACAACCUAUUGGUAGAAAGGUCUUUACAAUGAUGUAUUGAUGCCUACAAAAUUAUUUUUUUUGUCUAACAUGGUUCUGACUAGUACCAUAACUUCAAGUGCUUAAUUAUUAUCAUGCACUUAUUAUAUUGUUGAAAACAUGGUGUUAAUUAUCUAUUCCCUUC